rnacentral:pre_miRNA from 1 species
GUUUGGUGAUGAUGAUGAUGGUGGUGGUGGUGGUGAUGAUGAUUGGUUUUAGCUAGUUACUUCUUCUUGUUACUGUCAGAUGAUAUUUAAUAAUCAUCAUCAUCAUCACCAUCAUCAUCGUCAUCGUCAUUA